rnacentral:SRP_RNA from 1 species
GCUGGGCGUAGUGGCGGGUGCCUGUAAUCCCAGCCCCUUGGGAGGCUGAGGCAGGAGAAUCGCUUGAACCUGGGAGGUGGAGGUUGCAGUGAGCCGAGGUCACGUCACUGCACUCCAGCCUGGGUGACAGAGUGAGACUCUGUCUCAA